rnacentral:rRNA from 1 species
CCUACGUGAGGCAGCAGUGGGGGAUAUUGCACAAUGGGGGGAACCCUGAUGCAGCGACGCCGCGUGGGUGAAGGAGCGUUUCGGCGCGUAAAGCCCUAUCGGCAGGGAAGAAGAUGACGGUACCUGGCCAAGAAGCCCCGGCUAACUACGUGCCAGCAGCCGCGGUAAUACGUAGGGGGCAAGCGGUAUCCGGAUUUACUGGGUGGAAGGGGGGCGCAGACGGCAAGGCAAGCAAGGAGUGAAAGCCCGGGGCUCAACCCGGGAACGGCUCUGGGAACGGCCUGGCGGGAGUGCGGGAGGGGGAGGGGGAAUGCGAGGUGGAGGAGUGAAAUGCGUAGAGAUGAGGAGGAACACCGAGGGGGAAGG